rnacentral:miRNA from 8 species
UGUAUAUUUCCGCGUCCAGACU